rnacentral:rRNA from 1 species
GAUGAACGCUGGCGGCGUGCCUAAUACAUGCAAGUCGAGCGAACAGACGAGGAGCUUGCUCCUCUGACGUUAGCGGCGGACGGGUGAGUAACACGUGGAUAACCUACCUAUUAUACUUGGAUAACUUCGUGAAACCGGUGCCAAUACCGGAUCAUAUAUCGAACCGCAUGGUUCAAUAGUGAAUGACGGUUUUGCUGUCUCUUAUAGAUGGAUCCGCGCCGGAUUAGCUAGUUGGUAAGGUAACGGCUUACCAAGGCAACGAUGCGUAGCUGACCUGAGAGGGUGAUCAGCCACACUGGAACUGAGACACGGUCCAGACUCCUACGGGAGGCAGCAGUAGGGAAUCUUCCGCAAUGGGCGAAAGCCUGACGGAGCAACGCCGCGUGAGUGAUGAAGGUCUUCGGAUCGUAAAACUCUGUUAUUAGGGAAGAACAAAUGUGUAAGUAACUAUGCACGUCUUGACGGUACCUAAUCAGAAAGCAACGGCUAACUACGUG